rnacentral:rRNA from 1 species
AACGAACGCUGGCGGCAUGCCUAACAUAUGCAAGUCGAACGAGACCUUCGGGUCUAGUGGCGCACGGGUGCGUAACGCGUGGGAACCUGCCCUUAGGUUCGGAAUAACUCCCCGAAAGGGGUGCUAAUACCGGAUAAUGUCUUCGGACCAAAGAUUUAUCGCCUUUGGAUGGGCCCGCGUUGGAUUAGCUAGUUGGUAGGGUAAAAGGCUACCAAGGCGACGAUCCAUAGCUGGUCUGAGAGGAUGAUCAGCCACACUGGGACUGAGACACGGCCCAGACUCCUACGGGAGGCAGCAGUGGGGAAUAUUGGACAAUGGGCGAAAGCCUGAUCCAGCAAUGCCGCGUGAGUGAUGAAGGCCUUAGGGUUGUAAAGCUCUUUUACCCGGGAUGAUAAUGACAGUACCGGGAGAAUAAGCUCCGGCUAACUCCGUG